rnacentral:misc_RNA from 1 species
CAAGCUUAACGAUUGAUAAACUUCUUCUCGAUUAUUUAUUUUAUAACCAACGGUUUUUUCCAAGUUACAUGAUUUGUGUACCGUAUACUCUACUAUACAGCUAAUAAAGUAGAUUUUUCAACGGUAGAACUCGGUCGACUUUCUUUUCUCGCGGAAAAUUACAUUCUCUGUAAGCUUCAAUAAACGUAAGCCAUUAAUUUUAAUAAAGAAGUCUCGAACGCGUUAUUAUGAAACCAUUGGAAGGAUCAUUAAUGGAAAUACAUUUUACGAUACCGAGAAAAAUAAUCAAGAUAUUAAGAGACAUUAUCGAGAUUGAGAGUGCCAACGGCAGAGGUCGUCGGGUUGGAGGGCGAGAACUGAGUGAUUUAGUGGGGUGGCUACUCGACGACUGACCGAGAUAACCUGCCUGUCCACGGAACAACCCCAUUUGUCCAAUGUCUUCCGCUACAAAACUGCUCGCCGCCCUCCAGGCUCGCGUCCUUUUG